rnacentral:rRNA from 1 species
CCUACGGGUGGCAGCAGUGGGGAAUAUUGGACAAUGGGGGGAACCCUGAUCCAGCCAUGCCGCGUGUGUGAAGAAGGCCCUCGGGUUGUAAAGCACUUUCAGUGAGGAAGAACGCCUGGUGGUUAAUACCCAUCAGGAAAGACAUCACUCACAGAAGAAGCACCGGCUAACUCCGUGCCAGCAGCCGCGGUAAUACGGAGGGUGCGAGCGUUAAUCGGAAUUACUGGGCGUAAAGCGCGCGUAGGUGGCUUGAUAAGCCGGUUGUGAAAGCCCCGGGCUCAACCUGGGAACGGCAUCCGGAACUGUCAAGCUAGAGUGUAGGAGAGGAAGGUAGAAUUCCCGGUGUAGCGGUGAAAUGCGUAGAGAUCGGGAGGAAUACCAGUGGCGAAGGCGGCCUUCUGGACUGACACUGACACUGAGGUGCGAAAGCGUGGGUAGCAAACAGGAUUAGAUACCCUGGUAGUC